rnacentral:lncRNA from 1 species
UUUUUCCCUUCCGGCGGCCUCUCCGGGCCCAGAAGCUCCUCAAGUCGGCCUCUCCAGACCCACUUGCAGCCUCCCGGUAUCCUCUCCGGGCCCAGCUCUUCCUCCCGGCUGCGUCUGCAGGCCCGACUCCUGCCUCCCAACAACCUCUUUGGACUCAGUGCCUGCCCAGCUCCUGGUGGCCUUGGUCGGCCCACAGCUUCCUGAAGCCAAGCUCCCCAGGCCCAGCUCGGGCCUCAUGGUGGCCUCUCCUGGCUCAGCUCCUGCCCUCCGACGGCGUCUCCAGGCCCCAAAUGGCCUCGGGUCGGUGGGCUUCUCCAGGCCCAGCUUGGGCCUCCCGGCGGCCUCUGCAGGCUCAAGUGGUCCUGAAGUCAGCCUCUCCAGGCCCAGCUCCGGCCUCCCAGCAAGCAAGCUCUUUUGGCUCAGCUCCUGCCCAGCUCCCGCCGGCUUUUGUAGACCCUGAACUUUCUCCAGCGAUGCUCCUCAGUCCCACCUGCCUCCCGGUGGCCUGUACAGGCCCAGGUCUGGCUGGAGAACAGCCUCUGCAGGCCCCACUCUUGCCUCCUAGGGGCAUCUCCAGGCCCAGCUCUGGCCUCACGGCGGCCUCCCGGGACCAAGUCCCUGCCUGCCUCCCAGCAGCCUGUGUGCGGCCCAGCUCCUCCGUCACGGUGGCCUGUUCAGGCCCAACUCAUGCCUCUGGCACCCUUUCGAGAGGCGUGAGCCCCUGCCUCACAUUGGCCUCUCUCACGCUGAGGGAGUUCAGCGUGGGCCCCUGUCUCACACUGGCCUCUCUCACGCUGAGGGAGGUCAGCAUGAGCCCCUGCCUCACACUGGUCUCUCUCACGCUGAGAGCAAUCCUCCCUCACGCUGGCCUGUUGAGACCCAGCUCAUGCCUCUGUUGGCCUUUCCAGGCCCAGCCCCUGCCUGUUGGCGGCCUCUAGAUGUCCAGCCUCUACCUCAACAGUGGGCCCUCCACGCCCACCUCUUGCCUGGCCGUGGCCUCUUCGGGCCAGGCUCCCGCCUUGGGGCAGCCCCCGCAGGCCCAGCUCCUGCCUCACGGCCCUCCGGAGGCCAAGCUCAUGCGUCAGGGCAGCCUCUCCCAGCCUGGCGUUUGCUCCUUUGCAUGGGCUCCAGGCCCUGGACUUCCUCCAGUCGGCCUCUCCAGGCCCAGCUCUUCCUCCCGGCAGCCUCUGCAGGACCAGACUGUCGUCAAGUAGGCCUGUCCAGGGACAGCUCCUUCCUCCCGGCGGCCUCUGUAGGCCCAGACUGUCAUCAAGUAGGCCUGUCCAAGGACAGCUCCUGCCUCCCGGUGGCCUCUGUUGGCCCAAGUCGUCCUCAAGUCUGCCUCCCCAGGCCCAGCUCUGGCCUCUCGGCGGCCUCUCCAGGUGCAAAAGUUCCUCGAGUCCGUCUCUCCAGGCUCAGCUCCUCCUGUCUCCCAGUGGCCUCUUUCAGCCCAGCCCAGCUCAUGCCUCCCGGUGGCCUUCCCAGGCCCUGCUUUUGACUUUCCGCGGCCUCUGCAGGCCCCGAACUUGACCACCAGUCGGCCUCUCCAGGCCUGGCCUCCUGCCUGUUGACAGCCACUAGAGGCCCAGCCUCUACCUCAACAGUGUGCCCUCCAGGCCCACCUCUUGCCUCGCCGUGGCCUCCUCGGGCCAGGCUCCCACCUCGGGACGGCCUCCGCAGGCCCAGCUCCUGCCUCACGGAGGCCCUCUGGAGGCCAAGCUCAUGCGUCGUGGCGGCCUCUCCCGGCCUGGCGUUUGCUCCUUUGCAUGGGCUCCAGGUCCUGCACUUCCUCCAGUCGGCCUCUCCAGGCCCAGCUCUUCCUCCCGGCAGCCUCUGCAGGACCAGACUGUCGUCAAGUAGGCCUGUCCAGGGACAGCUCCUGCUUCCCGGCGGCCUCUGUAGGCCCAGACUGUCAUCAAGUAGGCCUGUCCAGGGACAGCUCCUGCCUCUCGGUGGCCUCUGCAGGCCCAAAUCAUCCUCCCCAGGCCCAGCUCCGGCCUCUCGGCGGCCUCUCCAGGUGCAAAAGUUUGAAUCAGUAUCUCCAGGCCCAGGUCCUCCUGUCUCCCAGUGGCCUCUUUUGGCCCAGCCCAGUUCAUGCCUCCUGGUGGCCUUCCCAGGCCCCACUUUUGACUUUCCGCGGCCUCUGCAGAUUCCGAACUUGACCUCCAGUCGGCCUCUCCUGGCCCGGCCUCCUGCCUUCCGAAGGCCUGCACAGGCCCAGUCUCUGCCUCACAGCGGACUCUCCACGCCCAGCUAGCUCUCGCCUCACUGCAGCCUCCCGAGUCCAAAGCUCCUGCCUCUUGGCCGCUUCGGCAGGCCCAGCUCCCACCUGCCAGUGGCCUCUUCUGGCCCAUGGGGUUCAUUCCUCACAACGGCCUUUCCAGGCCCAUUUUUUCCCUUCCGACUGCCUCUCAGGACCCAGAACCUCUGGGCCCACUUGAGGAGAUGCAGCCAGGAGGAACAGCUGGGCUUGCAGAGGCUGCCAUGCGGGAGGCAGAGGCUGGGCCUCCUGAAGUCGGCCUCUCCAGACCCACUUGCAGACUCCCGGCAUCCUCUCUGGGCUCAGCUCUUCCUCCCGGCUGCGUCUCCAGGCCCGACUCCGGCCUCCCAACAACCUCUUUGGACUCAGCUCCCGCCCAGCUCCCGGUGGCCCUGGUUGGCCCACAACUUCCUGAAGCCAAGCUCCCCAGCCCCAGCUCAGGCCUCACGGUGGCCUCUCCAGGCUCAGCUCCUGCCCUCUGACAGCGUCUCCAGGCCCCGAACGGCCUCCAGUCGGUGGAUUCCUCUAUGCCCAGCUUGGGCCUCCCGGCAGCCUCUGCUGGCCCAAAUCGUCCUGAAGUCGCCCUCUCCAGGCCCAGCUCCGGCCUCCCGGCAGCCUCUCCAGGCGCAACGCGUCGUCAACGAGGGCCCCUCCGGGGUCAGCUCCUGCCUCUCAUCAGCCUCUAGAGGCCAGUCUGGCGGCCUCUGCAGGCCCAGACUGCCCUUGAGUCAGGCUCUCCAGGGCCAGCUCCAGCCUCCUGGCAGACUCUGCAGGCCCAAGUCGUCCUCAAGUCGGCCUGGAAGUGGGCCUGGAAGAGCUGCAUUUUGGCCUCCCCGGGCCCAGCUCCGUCCUCUCGGCGGCCUCUCCAGGUGCAAAACUUCCUCGAGUCAGCCUCUCCAGGUCCAGCUCCUCCUGCCUCCCAGUGGCCUCUUUCAGCCCAGCCCAGCUCGUGGCUGUAGGCAGCCUUCCCAGGCCCUGCUUUUGACUUUUGGCGGCCUCUUCAGGCCCAGAACUUGAUCUCCAGUCAGCUUUUGCAGGCCCGGCAUCCUGCCUCCCGAAGGCCUGCACGGGCCCGGCCUCGGAAUCACAGCAGACUCUCCACGCCCAGCUAGCUCUCGCCUCACUGUGGCCUCCCCAGUCCAAAGCUCCUGCCUUUCGGCCGCUUCGGCAGGCCCAGCUCCCGCCUGCCAGUGGCCUCUUUAGGCCCAGCUCAUUCCUCACAUUGGCCUUUCCAGGCCCCGUUUUUCCCUUCCGGCAGCCUCUUGGCCUCUAAUUUUUUUUAUCUUUUGUGUAUAAAUCCCAAAAUAUGGAAUUUUGGAACAUUUCCACCAUUAUAUAAAUAUUUUGGUAGGU